rnacentral:rRNA from 1 species
GAUGAACGCUGGCGGCGUGCCUAAUACAUGCAAGUCGAGCGAAUGGAUUAAGAGCUUGCUCUUAUGAAGUUAGCGGCGGACGGGUGAGUAACACGUGGGUAACCUGCCCAUAAGACUGGGAUAACUCCGGGAAACCGGGGCUAAUACCGGAUAACAUUUUGAACCGCAUGGUUCGAAAUUGAAAGGCGGCUUCGGCUGUCACUUAUGGAUGGACCCGCGUCGCAUUAGCUAGUUGGUGAGGUAACGGCUCACCAAGGCAACGAUGCGUAGCCGACCUGAGAGGGUGAUCGGCCAGCCUGGGACUGAGACACGGCCCAGACUCCUACGGGAGGCAGCGGUAGGGAAUCUUCCGCAAUGGACGAAAGUCUGACGGAGCAACGCCGCGUGAGUGAUGAAGGCUUUCGGGUCGUAAAACUCUGUUGUUAGGGAAGAACAAGUGCUAGUUGAAUAAGCUGACACCUUGACGGUACCUAACCAGAAAGCCACGGCUAACUACGUGCCAGCCGCCGCCGUAA